CUCCCCUUUAUAAUCGGCCCCAGGAGAGGCAGAAGCCCUAAGCUUGCCCAUUUGGGCAGAGGGAUCCUCCUCUCAUCGUCACUGGCAUGUAAUGCUCCUCAGAAGAUGAUUUUAUCCUGGUGCCAUUGGUCACACCUUAAGGUUGCCACAAAGCCCUCCUCUGUAAUGAGAACGUGACUCCUAGUAUUUUUCUCCCUUUAUGGUCUGCACAUCAUGGAAACAUCCUGUGGAUUUAUUGUGCUUUGAGACCACCUGAGAAGCUGGGCUUGGGAAACACAGCCAAACUCACAACUCCCCAGUGUGCUGGAUUUGACGUUGAAGCUACAGCGUGCACACUGACCUAUGUCAUCUUCUGCUUCUGUGCCCAUUCUGGCCUCACAUCCUCACUUCCUGCUGCUUUUAGAGUUGUGGUUGAAAGUACAGCCCUAGCUAUGAAGUGCAGAGGCAAGAAAGGCACUUUGUACUAAACACUUAUUUUUUAGGCACCAUAUUACCCCCUAUUUAGCCAUGUAUGACCAUAAGUUACCUAAAGGAAAACAUAGUCAAGGUAGUAAAGUAGUUAGCAACCCUCUUUUCUCCCUAAAUUAGUUAUCAGCCUGGUUUUCAGUUUUCACUCAAAGCUAUA